GUGAAAGGGAUCCAAGCUGGAAGGAAGGCUCGGAAACCCUGCCACCCUUCCCAGGAUCCUUCCCAGCCUCCCAGCUCUGACAGCUGGAGCAAAGCUUGACCAUGGCUUCUGGCCAGCGUGGCCACUCCUGAAGACCAGGCAGAGAAAGGCAAACAGCAGGUCUGCAGGGAGGAUAUGGCAUAACGAAGCUGUGAGCAAGGCUUUACCAUCAAGCCAUAAACUGCCCCAACAACAUCUCCUGGCUGGCUAA
rnacentral:lncRNA from 1 species